CCCUUAGAUGUUCUGGGCCGCACGCGUGCUACACUGAGUGGAUCAGCGGGUCAGGUUCCGCGAAAGCGUUUCCUAAUCUUUAAAUCCGCUCGUGAUGGGGAUUGACGGUUGCAAUUUUCUGUCAUGAACGAGGAAUACCUUGUAAGCGCGGGUCAUCAUCCCGCGCUGAAUACGUCCCUGCCCUUUGUACACACCGCCCGUCGCUCCUACCGAUUGAGUGGUCCGGUGAGGCUUUGGGAUCUGAGCGGAAAGAGCGUUUCGCUGUUUCUGCUCGGAAAACUCAGUCGAACCUUAUCAUUUAGAGGAAGGAGAAGUCGUAACA
rnacentral:rRNA from 1 species